AGUGAACGCUGGCGGUAGGCUUAACACAUGCAAGUCGAACGGCAGCACAGUAAGAGCUUGCUCUUCCGGGUGGCGAGUGGCGGACGGGUGAGGAAUACAUCGGAACCUACUUUUUCGUGGGGGAUAACGAAGGGAAACUUACGAUAAUACCGCAUACGACCUACGGGUGAAAGCAGGGGAUAUUCGGUCCUUGCGCGAUUGAAUGAGCCGAUGUCGGGUUAGCUAGUUGGCGGGGUAAAGACCCACCAAGUCGACGAUCCGUAGCUGGUCUGAGAGGAUGGUCGGCGACACUGGAAGUGGGACACGGUCCAGACUCCUACGGUAAGCAGCAGUGGGGUAUAUUGGGCAAUAGGCGCAAGCCUGAUCCAGCCAUACCGCGUGGGUUGAGGAGGCCUUGGGGUUGUGAAGCCGUUUUGUUGGGAGAGAAAAGCAUCAGGUUAAGACGCCGCUGUACUGACGGUACCCAAAGAAUAAGCACCGGCUAACUUCGUG
rnacentral:rRNA from 1 species